GGGGGUAUAGCUCAGUGAUAGAGUGUGUGCUUAGCAUGCACGAGCUCUUGGGUUCAAUCCCCAGUCCCUCCA
rnacentral:tRNA from 1 species